rnacentral:rRNA from 1 species
GCGGCGGACGGGUGAGUAACGCGUGGGUAACCUACCCUGUACACACGGAUAACAUACCGAAAGGUAUGCUAAUACGGGAUAAUAUAUUUGAGAGGCAUCUCUUAAAUAUCAAAGGUGAGCCAGUACAGGAUGGACCCGCGUCUGAUUAGCUAGUUGGUAAGGUAACGGCUUACCAAGGCGACGAUCAGUAGCCGACCUGAGAGGGUGAUCGGCCACAUUGGAACUGAGACACGGUCCAAACUCCUACGGGAGGCAGCAGUGGGGAAUAUUGCACAAUGGGCGAAAGCCUGAUGCAGCAACGCCGCGUGAGUGAUGAAGGCCUUCGGGUCGUAAAACUCUGUCCUCAAGGAAGAUAAUGACGGUACUUGAGGAGGAAGCCCCGGCUAACUACGUGCCAGCAGCCGCGGUAAUACGUAGGGGGCUAGCGUUAUCCGGAUUUACUGGGCGUAAAGGGUGCGUAGGCGGUCUUUCAAGUCAGGAGUGAAAGGCUACGGCUCAACCGUAGUAAGCUCUUGAAACUGGGAGACUUGAGUGCAGGAGAGGAGAGUGGAAUUCCUAGUGUAGCGGUGAAAUGCGUAGAUAUUAGGAGGAACACCAGUUGCGAAGGCGGCUCUCUGGACUGUAACUGACGCUGAGGCACGAAAGCGUGGGGAGCAAACAGGAUUAGAUACCCUGGUAGUCCACGCUGUAAACGAUGAGUACUAGGUGUCGGGGGUU